rnacentral:lncRNA from 1 species
CUUUCAUCAACAGUAACAUAUGGACACAUAGAUUGAAAAUCUUUCCUUAGUCCUUCAAAGUCUCCAACUUUGAACAAAGGUUCCCUGAGUUGAUCAAUACUAAUGUCAAAUCACUUCACAAAUAAAUAAUAAGUGUAUAUUAUAAGUAUGAUUAGCUUGAUAAACAAUUACUCUGGAUUAUUAAAUGGAUGAAAUACGUAGGCUGAAAUGUGAGCUUGUUCAGUUGUUAGAUUCAUUUCUGGAGAUAGAGGAAACUUUGUCUUGAUGAACUGCAUUAAGAAGUAUACUACUUAUCAGCUACAAUACAAAAAUUACAAUAAUAAGUAAUUCAUUUUAUUUUUUACCUUUGAGAAAAUUUUGCCUGUAUUAUUGACACCAUUUUGAGCACAGAGGUGUAGCUUGGUUCAGCUUGGUUGUCACAUUUUUUGGAGGACAUAAAUCAGUCAUUUUCUCAGUCUUAGGAACCUUUAGUGUGUUGAAGUUAGGUGAACGCACAAACGACAACUUCCUUCCAACCAUGCAUUCCUCGUUUGAGUUUGUGAUUUUUUGUUUCAUCU